AUUUAAAUAGCUCAGCUGGUAGAGCAUGGGACUGAAAAUUCCUGUGUCGGCAGUUCAAAUCUGCCUUUAAAUA
rnacentral:tRNA from 1 species